UCUCUUCAGACAGGCCUCUGACCCUCACUCAACCCAGAAGGAAACUGAGGCCAAAGAGGUGGAGUCAACAGCCUCAGCCACCAAGCAAAGUUAGGAAGUGUGCCCACUGCUGGGCCUGCUGCUGCUCAAGGGUGCACCUGCCAGUUAGCCAACCCCCACCCCCACUCCCGCCUGCACUCAGAAAGGCUGGGGCGGGAGGGGACAUGCAGUAGUGGCCCCAACCCUGUCCCCCGCCACACAUGUAGACACACACACACAAACUACACAUACACAGCUAGGCAGAUGGGGAGGCAGGAGCUCCUGGCUCCACGGGGGAUUCAGAUGAUGGAGAAGAGAGGCGGGGCCCGCCUCAGGAAGGUAUGGGGGGGCUGUGGGGGCCCUCAGGAGCUGAGCGCAGUGGAAGGACCUCCCCCAUCUUGUGAGUAUCCCUAUACUGAGUAGAGGGAAUAGGGACUCCCCAGAAGUGGCCAGAUCCCAGAUCAAUCCCCACAGCCAGACCCACUUGGCCACCCAAGCCAGCCUCAGGCCACACAGGACCCCAAGGCCACAGGCCCAGAAACCUGCCCAUGCCCACGAGCCCUGGUCCCAGUCCCCGGGGCAGGGACUCACGUAGUCCUGGAAGGCCUUGGCCUCAUUUGAGUGCUCACACGCCUCUCUGCGGUCAGGUGCUGCACAGUACAAGUCCCAGAACACGCUGUGGGCGGCAGGGGGGGGGGGGGGACGAUGGUUUCCCCACACGUCCCCACCCAGCCCCCCUCCGUGGCCCACCCUGGCCAGCCCCACACGCACCACCACCAGGAAUGCAGGAACCCUGGGGGCUCCCCCAGCGUAAUGUUCUUCUCCCAUCGGAUCUGCAGGGGGAAGGCAAGACAGUGAGAGGGCCCUGCCUGACCCCUUCCAACCUGGGGCAGCCCUAGCCCAGCCUGGUGCCUGGGGAAUGCUGGGGCAGGGGACCAGCAGCCCAGAGCAAGGGAGCUGGGAGGGGGGCAACUACGUGAGGGGCAGAUAAGUGGGCACAGAUCGUCAGAUGGCCAGGCAGAUGCCUGGACACCAGUCCACAGGCCCUGAUCCACCCCAGCCCUCAGUUCCCAGGGCCAGCAGAAGGGCACCCCAACCCAUUUGUAAAGGAGAUGGAGAGGACCCCAGGGUAUGGGUGGUAAGGAAGGGCCCAGCUUAGGGGGGGAUCUCUGCCUGGCCAGGCUGGCUUACCUCGGACAGAAAGGUCUGGGCUGACUUCUGGGCACCAACGUGCAACAGGUACUCGUAUACAUAGAGUGCCAACCUGCAGGCAGGCAGAGGGGAGGCUGGCUCAGGCCUGGGGCGAGCCCCACAGUCCCAAGGAUCCCUGAAAGAGGCCCUCAGUGAGCCCCUCAUGACGCCACUCCCGGCCUCACUCGCUGUCCCCUACUGGUUCCCCAAUCACCCACAUCUCCCCCACCCUGACAGGUGAUGACUUCAGUUGCUCAGACCAGCCAACUCCUACAUAUCCAUCAACACCCAGCCUGCAGGCCCUUCUUCUAGGCAACGCUCUCAGCAGUCCAUAACCCCCCACUUGCAAACCAAACUCUGCUCUGUUAAACACCAAGUCCUGGCCCCAUCCUGCCAACGCUGAGACCCCAGAACAGCCUUGGUCCCAGAGAGGUUUUCUGCCCAGGAGAAAGGGCUCCCGGAUGUCACUCCAGACUAUGCCCUGGGUAGGGUCUCCCAGCCAGUACCCUAGGCCAUGUGGCCAGGGCCCAGCACCUAAUUCCCUCCCAGCUUUGCCUGCUAGGGGCCCUCUUCCAGGUGUCCCUGGACCCCCGUUCUCUUUCUCAGGAUCAGCGCCCAUCCACCAGUGGUGGCCAUGACCCAUCUAUACCAGCCCUCCAGGGAGUCUGGAGAAGUGAGGGUAGCGAGGGGCAGUGGGGCCAGCAGUGCCACUUGGCCGCCACAGCACCUUGUCAAAACACAGUGCCGGGUAACCUUAGACACACCAAUCUGGCCACUGCCCACCCCAAGAACAGGCCACCUUCCAUCUGGCAGUGUCCUCCACGGACCACAUAGGAAGUCCGGACCUUCCACGCCACCUUCCAAGCCUCUCCAUCCUCAGCCUCCACACCCCCUCAUCAGUCCUCCACACCAGCAAGCAGAGAAACAACUUCCUGGCCCCUGGGGUCACCCAUUUCCCAACCAUCCACUCCAGGGUUACUGGCCCCUCCCAGUGCUCCCAGGGACCUUACUGCCCGUCCAGGUCCCAUGUGGGCUGGGGGGUAUAGGGUCCAGAUCCAAGACUGGGGACUCCUCAAGGGCUGGCCUGAGCUGGAAGGCCUUCUAGUACGCCUCCCCACUCAGCUGGCCGCCCUUCCCUGGCUGAGGGCCCCAUCCUAAAAUAACCCUGCUUUGUCUCAUGUUCCUGCUCUCUCCCCACCUUCCCAGCCAGGCUUCUUGAUCCUCACAUACCCGCCCCCCAUCAGAUCACUCCCCCUUCCUCAGACCUCACAGAGGCCGUUCUGGCCAUUCUGUCCUGGCCCCCAGUCCCUGCCCCACCCCAUGGGUUCUGUCCUUGGCCUGGAUCCUCUUCCUUCAUCCAGCGCCUCCCUGUGCAAUGAACGCAACAGACACCUGUACCUCUGCAAGCUACCUGCUCGAGGGCAGACAGGGACGCAACAAUACAAAGGAGAAGCUAAGUUAUAUGGUGGGCCGGAAGGUUGUGUGCGCUAGGGAAGGGCAAAAGGGGGACGUUAAGGGGUUGGGGUGGGCAGCUGUCCCAGGGUGAGGUGGGCCCCUGGCUCACACCACACCAAAUGAGCUGUGACAGCCACCUACAGGGACAGGGCAUAGAGGGGUAGAGUUCACGGUGCUCAUGCAACUCCAAGCGUGGGUUUUCCUCAAGACUGGCUGCGGAUUCCCCCACAUCAUCGCACUCCUCUCAGCCUUCCUGGCCCCAUGGCCCCAUGGCCAGGUUUACCUGUCCAAUUCACUCCUGUGACUCUUCCUUUCUGGAGGCUUCCUGAGCCUUCAAGGGCCCUGCAUCUGCCAGCCCUGUGUCCAUUAGUGAAGGAACGAAUGUGAAAAGCCAAUGGCCUGAAGCAGAGCCAACCAGCGCAGGCCUACCAGCUACCCCACCUUCCAGGUUGGCAAAUGACCUGCAGAAUGACUGCACUCAGGGGGGCGCUUCUGCGGUAAGAGGGCAGGUGGAUGGAAGGGGCGAGUGACCUAGAGGAUCUGGCGUGCCCAGACCCCAAGUAUUCAUAGGAAGAAAUGCACACGGUGACCUAAUAGGAUGUUAGAGCCCCGCAGGCUACAAUGCGGCACCACCACCGUAAUCAAGAAUUAUGACACUACCUCUUCUCAAGUCCUUCUUUGGAGGCUCCCCUGUGUCCAGCGGCUCUGCUUAGCCUCCAAGACUCAGUUCAGGGGCUCCUUUCUUAAGGACCUCUUACUCAUCUGCUCUCCAAACAAGGAUGCCCACAGCCAUACUUGGAAGCCCAGCAAGAAACAGAGCAAACGCAAGGUGAUUCCCGCACCUGCUGAGCUAAGGAACAAACUUCACCUGUGGUCAUGUGCCCUGUCUCAAAACCCACCCCAGGAGAAAAAAAACACAAGGAACCCAGUGACACCAACCAUGGGUGUCGUUUAUGGAAUGAUUUAAACCAACCUAGCAGGGCUUCACAAUGGCAGAGCCUCUGGAGCCACAGGAGGAGGGAUACAAAGGGGACAAAGGGGCCUGCAGCUACCCCUGCUACCUCC